ACGAGCUGACGAGUCCUAAACAGGACGAAACGUGAGUCUUGGAU
rnacentral:hammerhead_ribozyme from 1 species